rnacentral:rRNA from 1 species
CUGCUGCCUCCCGUAGGAGUCUGGGCCGUGUCUCAGUCCCAGUGUGGGGGGCCUUCCUCUCAGAACCCCUACGCAUCGUCGGCUUGGUGGGCCGUUGCCCCACCAACUACCUAAUGCGCCGCAUGCCCAUCCGUGACCGGGGUCGCCCCCUUUGACCGGCAGGGGAUGUCCCCUCCCGGCAUUAUGUUGUAUUAGGCGGGAUUUCUCCCGGUUAUCCAUCUGUCACGGCCAGGUUGCAUACGUGUUACUCACCCGUGCGCCGGUCGCCGGCGG